rnacentral:lncRNA from 1 species
UGCCCUGGCAACAACUGGUCACCUAGGGACUCCACAACAAGCUGGCUCCCAAACCCCCUAGAAGCUCAUUUGGAGGUUGGCUGCCGUCUCUGUCAAUAACUAAUCAGUUCUUUGUGAGUCUCAUCUAAUUCCUCAACCCAGCUGGUCCCGUGUACAAGGAACUGAACACCCUUGGGAAGAUGGAAAGCAUGACAGUGCUUCCAUGAAAUUCAGUGUCUUCAUGAAAUCUCAGAAACUGAAUAGCAGAGCCAUCAGAAUGAGGUAAAUCACAUAUCACGAGAUUGUUU